AGAAAAAAAUGGUAUAUAUUUUUAUCUGGAACACUGGAAUUGUGGAAUUGUAUGUUUCCAGUUUGUUUCUUUGGACUUCACAGUAAAAAUUUAUAAAAGUUUUAUGAGGAAUACCAAGUUCAAGUGAACACAAGGAUUCUCUCCUUCACCUGACCACAAAUUCAUUUUACUGAUCCAGAAUACGCUCAAGUUGAAUCAAUACUUCUAGUAAAACUGAAAUAUGGAUCCAGGAUUCAAGUAUUUCAUCGUUGACAAAAUUUUGGAUAUAUUUAUUUUGAAGCAGUUAAACUUUUUUGACGCAGAGUUGGUUUACAAAUUUUUUGCUGAUCUCGGUAUCAAUUGCACCCAAAUUUAUGCAGGCGAUCAGGAGUUCUUCCAGUUUAUUAAUCUGCUUUGCUGCCUUGCUUUGCGUUAAUCAUCAUGAUUUUUGAUUAAAUAGUAUUUGUUUGUCGUUAUGUGACAAUAAAAAAAUCAUCGGUUAACUAAAACACUCUUUUUAUUUUAU